rnacentral:lncRNA from 1 species
AUACACGCUUGCCUAGAAUUUAUGAACCUCGGCUAAGAAGCCAACCUAUCACUGUACUUCCUGUAAAAAGUCUUACUGGCUGUGCUUAACUGAGAGAGCUGCUGUGCAAAAAAAUCCAAAGAGUCUGCACGAAAAUCACCAUUUCUCUCUGUACACGAAAAAAUAAAAUUAUAGGUUUCCUCUGCACAUAUUGUCAAUAUUUGUGAAAGGAGUGCUAUCCUCAUCUGGGGCAG